GACGGCUAUACGGCAGCGGUGACGUUUAGUCAGUGAGGAAAGUCCGGGCAUCACAGAGCAGGGUAGCUGAUAACAUCAGCCGGAGGCGACUCCCGAGCAAGUGCAGCAGAAAAGAUACCGCCGAUUUUUCGGUAAGGGUGGAAUGGUGAGGCAAGAGCUCACCGGAGGCGCAGAGAUGCGUCUGCCGUGUAAACCUUACCCGAUGCAACCCCAAUGGCAGCCCAUGGUCAAUGGCUGCUCGUCAGGCCCAAGCUGUAGGGGGCUAAAGCUUUAUGGCGACAUAAAGCGCAGAUAGAUUGCCGUACACGACAAAACCCGGCUUACAGGCCGUCUCA
rnacentral:RNase_P_RNA from 1 species